rnacentral:tRNA from 1 species
CGGGACGUGGCUCAGUCUGGAAGAGCACAGCGUUCGGGACGCUGGAGUCGCUGGUUCAAAUCCAGCCGUCCCGACCA